ACGAACGCUGGCGGCGUGCCUAAUACAUGCAAGUCGAACGCUUCUUUCCUCCCGAGUGCUUGCACUCAAUUGGAAAGAGGAGUGGCGGACGGGUGAGUAACACGUGGGUAACCUACCCAUCAGAGGGGGAUAACACUUGGAAACAGGUGCUAAUACCGCAUAACAGUUUAUGCCGCAUGGCAUAAGAGUGAAAGGCGCUUUCGGGUGUCGCUGAUGGAUGGACCCGCGGUGCAUUAGCUAGUUGGUGAGGUAACGGCUCACCAAGGCCACGAUGCAUAGCCGACCUGAGAGGGUGAUCGGCCACACUGGAACUGAGACACGGCCCAGACUCCUACGGGAGGCAGCAGUAGGGAAUCUUCGGCAAUGGACGAAAGUCUGACCGAGCAACGCCGCGUGAGUGAAGAAGGUUUUCGGAUCGUAAAACUCUGUUGUUAGAGAAGAACAAGGACGUUAGUAACUGAACGUCCCCUGACGGUAUCUAACCAGAAAGACACGGCUAACUACGUG
rnacentral:rRNA from 1 species